rnacentral:tRNA from 1 species
GGCUUUGUGGUUCAGUGAUAGAAUUCUCGCCUUCCACGCAGGAGAUCUGGGUUCAAUUCCUGGCAAUGUAC